UUGCCUGUAAUCUCCUUUAAACAAGUACAUUUUUAUAGGCUGAUUGAUUAACGUUAAAACCAACCUUUCAACCUAUGCUCCCAGGGCAGGUUAAAAAGUAAAACAGUUUAAAAGAAAUACCAGCCUAAUGAUCAUUAAAACCUCAUUCAAAACAAUAAGCAGCCAUUAAACACACACACAUUCCGAACAUUAAUGCAAGCAUAUUAUCUUUCUUAACGUACUUAUUUUGGUGCACACGUCCCCCUAAGAUACUAAUUUACAUUUACAUUUUUUUGAUCAAGAACUACAUUUCAAUGNUAUCUGUAUUUUGUUUGCCUUAUGGUUUGCCGGUUUAUACUGAUCUCAGAAGUAAUUUCGCACCUCCCAAACCUACUGGCUGCAUUUCNUCAUCACUGUUGAUUAGUCAGCAGACCACGUCAAAUUAAAAUAAACAAAUAAAAUGUAUGUAAACAGAAAUAAUAUAAACACCACAAAAUACNUACAUGUAAACUGGAAGUCUAAAAAUCUGAUAUUUAAAAGAUGAGCUAAAUUUUUUACNUCCCCAGACUAUUCUACUUCCAUAUGUUCAGUUUAAGUGAUGUUGCAUUUGUGGUGACCAAUUCAAAUUCCAAGUAGCUCUGAAACAGGAUGAUACAGGGCCAGAAAAAGCCAGAAAAAAGUAUCUCCCAUCCGGCUUCCNACGUUUCCAUCUGCUCUGCCUAUGAAUAUUAUUUCUGUUUUCUUUUCCUGAUCCAUCCUAUCUNCUAGAAUCGCAGUGCCCGUCUUAACAGUGGCAUUUCAGGAGUUCAACAGUUCUUUUCUUCUCUUUUUGUAGGAGGGAUAAUUAGAUAAAGAGGAAACUUACACCUCUUGCCACCCCUGGAAUGAAUUUCCACAGCUGUUAAUGGCCGGGUUCCUGGGUGCCUCGUAAAUCGCAGAGCCCGAGCUUCGUGGCGANGGGUGUCUUUGAUCUGGACACGCUGCUCCACCGUGAACAGGAAAAGGAAGAGGGACCCCGGAAACAUUCCCGUUCUUGCGUUCCCUUGGGAAGGAAUCCUUCGUGGGAGGUUGUCUCCCAAGCCACAGAGGAAAGUCNGGAGAGUCAUAAAGGUUAAGGGAUACAGGAAGGGAACCCAGGCGUGGAGGAGCCGUGCCAACCGAUCCAAAACUGGGAAGAAGCUUUCGGAAGCAAAGUUCAUUGGCUCGGAAACGAUGAUUUACAAAACUCACCUGGGACCAGACGGUGCUGAUAAGUGGAAAUCAUGUCCUCUUGGCAACUUUCUUUCAACUCCCUCCUCCUUGGGCGCUUUAGGUGAGGCGCGGGAUGUUGUGAUGGUGGUGGGUAGUUAAUUUUAACAUCCCAUGUGCCAGUCUCACAAUUUUUAAGUAGUAGUUAUAAAUGGCUUGUUGAUUGCCAUCUUUGUGUGUUGACUGUUAAAGCCAAGUGCAAUUUUAAAUAAAUCUAGGUGCAGUUUUCA
rnacentral:lncRNA from 1 species